GACGGGGCCCGCACAAGCGGUGGAGUAUGUGGUUUAAUUCGAUGCAACGCGAAGAACCUUACCUGGUCUUGACAUCCCGGAGACCCUUAGGAAACUAGGGGGUGCUUCCAUCUGGAAGAAUCUGGAGACAGGUGCUGCAUGGCUGUCGUCAGCUCGUGUCGUGAGAUGUUGGGUUAAGUCCCGCAACGAGCGCAACCCUUGUCUUAUGUUGCCAGCACGUGAUGGUGGGGACUCAUGAGAGACUGCCGGGGUUAACUCGGAGGAAGGUGGGGAUGACGUCAAAUCAUCAUGCCCCUUAUGUCCAGGGCUUCACACAUGCUACAAUGGUCGGUACAACGCGUGUGCGACACUGUGAGGUGAAGCUAAUCGCUCUAAAGCCGGUCGUAGUUCGGAUUGGGGUCUGCAACUCGACCCCAUGAAGUCGGAGUCGCUAGUAAUCGCAGAUCAGCAACGCUGCGGUGAAUACGUUCCCGGGCCUU
rnacentral:rRNA from 1 species